rnacentral:rRNA from 1 species
UGGGGAAUAUUGCACAAUGGAGGGAACUCUGAUGCAGCGACGCCGCGUGAGUGAGGAAGGAAUUCGGGUCGUAAAACUCUGUUCUAGGGGAAGAAAAGGACUGUACCAUAGGAGAAAGCUCCGGCGAAAUACGUGCCAGCAGCCGCGGUAAUACGAAUGGAGCGAGCGUUGUCCGGAAUUAUUGGGCGUAAAGGGUGCGCAGGCGGCUUUACAAGUUGGAUGUGAAAUAUUGGGGCUCAACCACAAACGUGCAUCCAAAACUGCAAAGCUUGAGUUAAGGAGAGGUAAGUGGAAUUCCUGGUGUAGCGGUGGAAUGCGUAGAUAUCAGGAGGAAUACCGGUGGCGAAGGCGACUUACUGGACUUAAACUGACGCUCAGGCACGAAAGCGUGGGGAGCAAACAGG